AUUGGCUCUAUAUAUUAUGUUGGUAUCAUUUGUUUUUGCUAUAAGUAAUACUUUGGAAAAUCUGUCAGGUGAGUUGUCUAAGAAAGACAAAGACAGCUUAUGAUUAUGAUACAUUUAACACGAGGUAUACUAAACAAGUGAUAUAUUUGGCACAAGAUAUGCUAUGGCUUUUUUUUUUUAUUCCCAUAUAAUGUGUUAAAGCUGAUGGGAGUUGAUAGAUUUUACUUGCUAUAUUCUUAUAGUUGCCUUCUUACGUUCUAGGAUG
rnacentral:lncRNA from 1 species